UACAGGGGGUGCAAACGUUGCUCGGAAUCAUUGGGCGUAAAGCGCACGUAGGCGGUCUGUUAUGUCGGAUGUGAAAUCCCCAGGCUCAACUUGGGAACUGCAUCCGAUACUGGAUGGCUUGAAUCCGGGAGAGGGAUGCAGAAUUCCAGGUGUAGCGGUGAAAUGCGUAGAUAUCUGGAGGAAUACCGGUGGCGAAGGCGGCAUCCUGGACCGGCAUUGACGCUGAUGAGCGAAAGCUAGGGGAGCAAACGGG
rnacentral:rRNA from 1 species